rnacentral:lncRNA from 1 species
AAAUAAGUACUCAUAUUUAAAAGAUUCUAACAAAAAAGUCAAUAAUAAGUAUAAAACUAAAUUUAAAAUAUAUAAAUGAAGAAUUUUAAAGAAUUUAACGAACGUGUCGAUGACAUGUCGUGUCAAUACUUUUUGAAAAAAAAUCACGAGUCGACGUAUCCGACACGUAUCGUGUUGGACACAUUUGUCAGUGUCGGUGCAUCAUAGCCUGAUUUUCUUGAAUUUGAUUGUUGGGAAUCUGAAUUCCUGUGGUUAUUUGUAAAAGUGAUGGACUUCGUUUUGGUCCAGAGACGUCAAAUGGAGAGAGUCUAUCUUCUUCAAAUAUUGCUGUGCGUUUAUAUACAUAGAAACCUGCAUAAGUGUUGAUCUACAAUUGAAAUUACUUAAUAACUUUAUGCUUGAUUACACCUUGUGUACACCUAAGGGAAGUUGAAAAUUCCUUUCCAACUUUAUAAUGAUUUUGGUUGCUGGCCUCCCAACUCGAUGGGAUAUAAAAUGUGAACCCCCUCCCCCCUCCCAAAAAAAGAAAAAUAGUAUAAGAAGGAAAAACCUCUUCAAUUAUUGGUUUGUUAUGAACCUCUUCAAUUAUUGGUUUGUUAUGAACCUCUUCAAUUAUUGGUUUGUUAUGAACCUCUUCAAUUAUUGGUUUGUUAUGAACCUCUUCAAUUAUUGGUUUGUUAUGAACCUCUUCAAUUAUUGGUUUGUUAUGAACCUCUUCAAUUAUUGGUUUGUUAUGUAUUGUGCUCUUCAGGAACUUCCUGGGUCAUCA